CUCGAUCCAGCAAGAGGAGACGAGCACAGGAAGAUGGCCAGGCUUGUCCUUGUCGCCGUACUGGUGGUGCUCGGUUCCGUGGCCUGCCAAGCAUCCGGCUACGGCUACACCUAUCCCAACCCCACUCCCAUCAUAACCGGUACUCCGCAGCCGAGCCCUUCCCCACCUCCACCGGCUACUCCCCCGCCCAGCCCUACCCCUACACCGGAAUAUCCCACCCCGACUUCCAGCGCGCCGGCAACGCCCCCAUCAGUUUCUCCUCCGACCAGCUCUACCCCGCCACCACCGUCUACCCUUCCCCCGAGCCCUACUGCUACCCCGGUCUAUCCCACCCCCACUCCCACCACUCCCGCGCCCCCACCGGCUUCUACUCCUGCCCCGCCUCCACCUGCCACCGGGCUCGAGGUCGGCUACUACGAUGACAAGUGCCCUGACGCGGAGAACAUCGUGUUGGAUGCCGUGCACAACACCACCGCCGGCGUGAAGGCCGGGCUCAUCCGCCUCUUCUUCCACGACUGCUUUGUCCGGGUACGUAUAUAUACAUAGUUAUUUCAUACGUAAAUGAAGUUUGAUAGAUAAUCCAGGAUUGAGAAACUAAUAAUGCAUGUUAUCGUUGCAUGCAUGCAUGCAUGCGUGUUACUCUACUUGGGCGUGGAUUUCAGGGUUGCGAUGCCUCUGUCCUGCUGAACAAGAUCGCUGGCAAGCCGGAGCCCGAGAAGCUCGGUAUCCCGAACCUGAGCCUGCGUGGCUUCGAAGUGAUAGACGCGGCAAAGAAGAAGCUCGAGGAAAAAUGUCCCGGUGUCGUCUCGUGCGCCGACAUCGUCGCCUUCGCAGGCCGUGACGCUAGCAAGUUACUCAGCACCUACAAAAUAAACUUCAACAUGCCAGCCGGCCGCUACGAUGGGUUCGUGUCCCUCAAAGACGAGACCCUCGCCAACCUGCCUCCACCCUUCGCCAACCUCGACACACUCACACAAAUGUUCGCCAACAAGACACUCAGCCAAACCGACAUGGUCGUGCUCUCGGGCGCGCACAGCAUCGGCCGCUCGCACUGCUCCUCCUUCAGCAACCGUCUCCAGCCGUCGGCCAACGACAACUCCAACACGUCGAUGGAUGCCACGUUCGCUGGGAAGCUGACCCAGGACUGCACCGCCGGUAGUGAUCCCAUGGUGCCGCAGGACUACAAGACCGUCGACGUGUUGGACAGCCAGUACUACAGGAACGUGAUCGAUCGCAAAGUGCUCUUCACCUCUGACGCGGCGCUCAUGACGUCGCUGCAGACGAAGAGCUUGGUGCAGGAGUACACUAAAUGGCUCAUCGGAGAUCUCAAGUGGUACAAACAUUUCGGGGAUGCAAUGGUGAAGAUGGGAAAUAUCGAAGUGAAGGACAGCACCAAAGGUGAGAUCAGAAAGAUGUGCGGGCUCGUCAAUUAACCCUACACCGGUUCAUGGUCUCUUGAUGGCAGAGGGUGUUCAGUUCAUGCUUUUUUCAAUGUGCCUUCCGGUCUUCUUUUCUCCUUUAUUUCAAACUAAAUUUUUUGCUCGUUGAUUCAUUUCAUUUAUUUGUGUUGUAAUCCUUAUUGUGCCACUGUACUCAAUUACCGGCAAUACUUUAUACUGAGAUUGAUGAAUCAAUUUCGGUUUAUUGUUAUUUUGUAUUGGGAAUAUACUUUAUAUUAAGAGCAUCUCUGAUAGAUGUCCUAUCCUAUAUCUAGUUUCUCGUGCUAUAGGACAUCUGUUUUUGCAUGUUAGGGCAUAAAAAAAAUUAUGCUAUUCCAGAUGCCCUAUUUUACGCGACACGUUCUAACAGAUGCCCUAUUUUACACACAUUUGAUCAACAUUCAAACAUUUUUUUCAAACUCGAUUUCAAACUUACGAACUACAAACCAUCAUUCGAACUCAAUUUCAUACCCUAAACUUGAUUUCAUAAUCCUAAACUCGGUUCUACAUAACUUAACUUGAUUUGAACUCGAGUUCACAACGUACGACAAUCAAAGUCAUCCGACGAAUCGGAUGAUCCAUCCGAUGUCCAGUCAAAGGAGGAGGAGCUUAACUCGAUCACCGUCUUAACCGUUGAUGGUCCAGACUCACCGAGCUUCUUCUUCUUCUCUAUCUCGCGCUUCCAGAAGAACUCGCGCUUGUAUUGCACGUACUCGGGAUGCUCCCGAGGAAACCGAGCCACUGCCUCGUCGUCGGUCUCAAUCACCCUCGCCAGCUCCUCCUUCUUCACCAACCGGGUCUUCACCCGGUUCUUCAUCGGGGGCCCGACGAAGAUGGCGUCCUGCAGGGAGGUGAUGUCCGGGAAGUUGAGCUCCUCCCGGGGAAUGCCGAGCCGCCACCCAGUGACGUCGUACGCCCGAGCGUCCAAAUCGGCGGUGUCGAAGGUGUCGAGGUAGUAGCACACGCUCUCGUGCUGCAGCUACACGGUCCACUGGCCCGACGACCUCACCCGCAUGCCCUUAUAGAAGGAGCUCGCCUUCGUCUUCUUCGCAGCGCCAUGGCGGAGGCCAUGGCUAGGGUUUGCAUGCGGGGGUAGGGAGCGGCGGCGGAUGGGUCGGAGCACGAGAUCAUGGUAGGGAGCACGAGAGCGGCGGCGACAGACCCGAUUUGGAGGCAGGAGAGCUCGGGAGCGGCGGCGGCGACAUACGGGAUUAUUGGGCGGCGGCUAGGGUUUGCGGGUGGCGGAGGAUGCGAUUUGUCACGGCGGUGGGUGCGGACGGAGACGGGAAUGCGAUUGGGGGACGGUGGCAUGUCGGAGGAUGGCCGGAUGUGAGCGGCGACGACGGAUUUGGCCUGUUGGGGCGGUGGCGGUAGGUGGAGAGCGGGAGGAGGAAAAGCGGUUAGGCACGCGCGCGGUGGAAAGGACAGGGCACGUCUCUCUUGCGGUCCUCUCUGCCCCAAAUAAAGGGCACGGAGUAGGGCUGCCCAAUUUUAGGGCACCGCUUAGGGCACCUGUUGGAGCUGCGUUUUUGCCCAUCGGUGUCCUAAAAAGCGGGAUUUGGGCAUGAAGACUAUAAUAGGGCAUCUGUUAGAGAUGCUCUAAGUGUUCUAGCGAAAUCUGUUUGUAUGAAGCCCCUUGUUUCUUACUCCUAAGCUACAUGUUUGGUGCAUCCCUUUUGGGUGAUUUACAUAUGGCUUAUUUUUUAUCUCUGAAACAUCAGUAGUAGAAAACAUGUCUUUGGAUCUCAUCGCGAGCACCGCCGUGCUGAGCGUCUUGUUCUUGUCUUCUUUUUAAUUUUUUUCUUACUUGUAUGAUUUAGAUAGAUAUACUUGUUGGGGAACGUCACAUGAGAAACAAAAUUUUCCUACACGCACGAAGACCUAUCAUGGUGAUGUCCAUCUACGAGAGGAGAUUUGGAUCUACGUACCCUUGUAGAUCGCACAGCAGGAAGCGUUAAGAAACGCGGUUGAUGUAGUGGAACGUCCUCACGUCCCUCGAUCCGCCCCGCGAACCAUCCCACGAACCGUCCCGCAAUCCGUCCCACGAUCCGCUCCGAUCUAGUACCGAACGGAUGGCACCUCCGCGUUCAGCACACGUACAACUCGACGAUGAUCUCGGCCUUCUUGAUCUAGCAAGCAAGACAGAGAAGUAGAUAAGUUCUCGGGCAGCGUGACGGCGCUCCGGUGGUGGUGAAGGAUCUACUCCUGCAGGGCUCCGCCCGAGCUCCGUAGAAAUACGAUCUAGAAGAAAAACCGUGGUGUUUGUGGUCGGGCUGCCGUGGCAAAAGUUGUCUCUAAUCAGCCCUAAAACUCCACUAUAUAUAGGAGGAGGGGAGGGGAGGCUUGCCUUGGGGUCCAAGAACCCAAGGGUGCGCCGGCCAAGGAGGUGGAGGAGUCCACCUCCAAUCCUAGUCCAACUAGGAUUGGAAGGUGGAGUCCUUCCUUUCCUUCCCACCUCUUUUUUUUCUUUUCUCUUUGAUUUUCUUAUCCCUUGCGCAUAGGCCUUAUUGUUUUGGACCGCCGUGGGAGAGCUUUGUGGUGCUCUAGCUCACCUCCUAUGCACAUGAGGUGUUCAAUGAAAUGCCCGAGCCACGCUUAAGCUUUCUCCUCUCGAAGCUCCUUAUCCAAGCACCAUUUUUCUUAAGAUUUGUCUAGGUUUGGCGGUCCGUCCUAUCCCGUCCCCGUCCCUCACCGCCGUCGAUCGCCCGCGCCCAUCUCUGCGCCGGCACAACCGUGGUUAGCCUCUUCUUCUUAUCUUCUUUCUAAAAUAAAAAAGUUCUUACUUGUAUGAUUUAGAUAGAUACUUGUGUAAUUUUCUUACUUUUAUUUUUGUUUGUUAGUAUAUAGUGCGAUGGUUUUGGUAUCUGCCUCCUUCGGUUCUCGUCAUGUCUAUGAUUCGGAUGUGGUACAUAUUAUCUUUUAUAACUAAUUUUUUAGUGUUUAUGACAAUUAUGCCGAUAAAUGUGACAUAGAUUUUUUAUUCUAGGAGGUAUGUGAACCGGAAAUUACAACCGACAUAGAAAUUCUUGUCGAGAAGUUAAAUUUGGUUGAAAUAGAAAACAAUUACUUGAAACAAAAACGAUCACAAGAUCAACAUGGAUAUGCAAUGCGCUUGAAGGUUAGAAAGAUUAGAAAAUAUGACAUUCAUAGUGAGGCUUGGUAUCAUUGUGUCAUUGAAUCAAUUGGUAUCUUAGUUGCGGUUAUGAUCACAUUUAUUGUUGCAUUUAAUUUUAUAGUUUCAAUGUAUGUUUUAAUUAUAUGCUAUCGAGAGCUAUAUAUUGUUCAAUAAUGAGAACUAUGUAUGAACGUUAUGUAUUUAUUUAUGUCACUACUGUACUUUGGCUUCAAUGUGAUUAUGAAUUUCUAUUAAUUUGGUCAAUUCUCAAUUCAUGAUAUGUUAUAAUGGUUUUUAAUACACUUUAUUAUAUAACACACGUAGAUGAAUCGGCAAUAGAUGUACGAUGACCGACGCACCUUUGAAAAUAUUAAGGGCCUGCAUAAUUUUCUCGAAGCGGCUGAGACAAACAAGUAGAAUUGUUUUAUGCAUUGUCCAUGUACCGUCUGUGGGAAUAUAAAGGCUUUCUCCAACUCUAAAACCCGUCACUUCCACCUUCUUGAGAAAGGUUUUAUGACACACUAUAAUGUUUGUAUCAAGCACGGAGAAAGAGGGGUUAUGAUGGAAGACAAUGAAGAAGAACAGGAUGAUGACAACUACCCGCCCCAUGAAUACGGUGAUGCUGCAAUGGGGGAAGCUGAAGAUCAAGAGGAACUAGACGACGUGCCUGAUGAUGAUCUUCGCCGGGUCAUUGUUGAUGUACAGAGAGAAUGCAAAAAGUGAAAGGGAGAAGCUGACGUUCGAUCACAUGUUAGAGGAUCACAAAAAAUGGUUGUACCCCAAUUGCGAAGAUGACAACACAAAGCUCGGUACCACACUCCAAUUGCUGCAAUGGAAGGCAGACAAUGGUGUAUCUGACAAGGAAUUUAGUUCGCUAUUGAAAAUAAUGAAGAAGAAGCUUACAAAGGAUAACGAAUUUCCUGACAGUACGUACGAAGCAAAGAUGGUUCUAUGCCCUCUAGGAUUAGAGGUGCAGAAGAUACAUGCAUGCCCUAAUGACUGCAUCCUCUACCGCGGUGUGUAUGAGGAUUUGAACGCAUGCCCGCUAUGCGGUGCAUUGCGGUAUAAGAUCGAAGAGAUGACCCUGGUGAUGUUGAGGGCCAGCGCACCGGGAAGAGGGUUCAUGCCAAGGAGAUGUGGUAUGCUCCUAUAAUACCACGGUUGAAACGUCUGGGCAGCCAGCUCUGAGUCUUUGAAGGAGGUAUCGUAGAUGCAGAGGUUCUCGACUAGAUGUUCUUGGGAUAAAUUUGGGUGAAACUUGAUUUCUGUCGGUGGUCGGAGGAAAUGAUGGUGAUGCCCUUGGCGCCGUUUCCUUCAGGAAGGCAUCAUCGAGGUGAAGCUCCCAACUCCUACCCUUACGUCUGGGGAAACUCUUAAUCAGUCGAUCGGAUGAUGACGGCGCUCUCGUGUCGUUCCCUCCUUGGGGGCGUUGUUCUUGGAGGGGUGCAUUGGCUCGACGGGUCAUUGGACGGUUUUAGUGGUGGAUCGACGUCUCGUGUCAGGCAUCGAUGAUGUAGCGUCUUGACGACAUGGCGCAACACGGUCUUAGAGAUAGAUGUAUAAUGUUGGACGUGCGUAGGGAGGUGGCAUUAUUUGGAGUUGUGGUGGCGUCGACCGCAUGACUACCAUGGUUGAUGCGUCAGUACCUGCUCUCAAGAUGGAUCGAUGGAAGACGACGGCGGCGGUCUCUUAGAGUGCGCGGGACCGGUGUGUGCCCGAGAACAGGCAGGAGCCUUGAUUGGGGCCUCCGGUUUCAGAUGUUAGGCUUCAAACUUACUGAUUUAUUACUUAAUAAAAUGACUGUAUAUAUCGUCCAGAUGGAGAGGCAGGUGGGACAUCCUUAUUUGCUUUUGAAAGGUGUUGAAGGAUAUGCGACGGAAAUAAAUAACAAAAGUGUUGAUGUGAAGAUGACUUGUAAUGCAGCUUAAUUAAACAUAAAGUAGUUAGGUAUGGAUAUGGAUAAUAAAAAUACAUGAUGCAAAGCUAGACUUCCAAGCAGCUUAAUUGCACGAAAAGUAGCUUACACAAAAUGACGUGCACACUAACUCGGCUUAAUCAUUAAAACAAAGACUUAAGAUUGUGUUAGAAGUAGGUAAAGAUUAAGGUGUAUUUGCAUGAUAAAUUGUUGCCAUCUCUAAGUAGGACUCAGACUCGUGUAUCCAAUUAAGCAGGAUUUGGACUCUUUAUAAUGAACGUGCAGUUUUAUAAUGCAUUUUUAAUUAGAUAAAGUAAUCGCAUACACUACUUUAAGUUAAUAGCAAAUGUGGCGUUGGCUGUACGUGGUUGGAAUCGUGUUCGAUUUAGUUUGUUAAUUGCAUGCUUUUUUGUUCGCAAAUCUGAGAUUACACAUGAUGUGAAGCACAAGUAAAGGCAGCAGGUUGCUGGCAAGCCUGACAUAAUUGUCGUGACAUAGUGACAUUGGAAAGUGGACGUGGUUGGAAGAUUGCAUGAAAAAAUAAGAUAUGAAAAGGUAAUGAUAUUUAUAAAGCAAAUAUUUUACAUGAUCACUUACACAAACUAGUUCAAUUGGUGGUUCCAUGCGAUUGAAGGGAAGGAUGGCGAGUUCAUACCCGAGUACUUCCAUCUAUUUUUGUCUAGGAUUGCAGGUUCAUUAUUUACAAUCUUGUGAGGCUUUAUGUAAAUUGCCAUCGAAUCGCUAAAAGCAGGAUCAUGGGUUUAUUGGAUAAAACCUCAAGGGUGUUUGCGCAAAACAGCAUAACGGACUAAGAAUUUUUUUUUAUUAGUAAAAAAAAGUAGGUAUAGAUAUAGAUGAUAUAAACUAGGAAAUAUGCCCUUGCGGUGCAACGGGAUAACAAGUGCCUCAACAUUCCCCCAAUCCACGAACACACCCUUCCACAUCCUCUAUGUCAUGACAAUGCCCGACCUAUAUCACCCCUUAUCUUCCUUCCUACCAUCGUCGAUUGUGACAGUUCAAUCUUGUGUUUGUACAACACCGUGGGCAGCGCCCAUCAAUAAUGUGAGGAUUUCAUUGGCGGGAGUGCUCGACCACGUCGGCUGGGUGUCGUUGGUUAGCGCCUCGCUUAUAGUCACCUCCGUCGUCAACCGAAGUGCUGCCGGCAUAGCAAAUACAAUUUACAAGUAAAUCUACUAAAAAGUGUUAUAGACCAAGGCACUAAGAAUUGAACGAUGAUUCUGACCACUUGUUUUGUUAGAAAUUUCCGGAAAAAUAAAUCCUUCUCAAAUAAAUCUCAGACUUCAUCAAGGAGCUACACAAAUUAAAUCAUAUUUACGGUCAUAAGAUCAUCGUAGAUUAGAUGUGCAUUUAUUUUGUUGUAAGAAUAUCCCAACAAACAAAUAUGUGCAACUUGGACUGUACUGUUAAAUAGUUAGACACGUGAAUAUAUAUAUAACUAAUAAACUUCCAAAGAGUACACACUUGAAAAUUUCUCAAAAAGUACACACUUGAGGCAUGCGACAUGUACAUUCCAAGAUUCUCCGAAGUCAUAGCAUUUUAGCUUAUUCCUCAGGAUGGAUGCCAGCAUUUUUGUUUCGGAAAUUAUAUAUGGAAAAUACCUCUUAAAAAACCUAGACAAACUUCGACAUACAAAAAACAUGUGACGGGGAGAAUUACGGAGAACUAAAUGACGGCACCACUGAUUUGUUUUGUUCAUAUAUGUUCACAUAUUAGAAUGUCCUUGCUGUUGUUAGUUAACUAUAUGAUGAAGCAAAGAUCCCAAUCUAUGGAUUGGAUUAACAAAACUAAAGGAUGUAAAAAAUGGAUUCUAUACUAUAUUGCAAGGGAGCUUAUUUUUCUUCUAAGUAAUUUGUUUGCUUUACAUAAUAUCUAUCAUUGCCUAAUUAUUGUUGGGAACUGUGAAAAAAAUUUAUCAACGUAAAUUAUGAUCAUAUUUAUUUUGUGAAGAAAAUAACUUUGCCUGGAGAUAAGUGAGCCGAUCAGCAUUUUUUGUGUGUGUUGCAACAUAUGCAUGCUAGCUAGCACAACCUUAACAACAAUACCAUGUUGACGGCUGUCGGGACCCCGAUCCUAAGCCAUAGGAAUCUAGCCUGUAACACAUCGCAUCCCUUUGUGGUCUCACGCACGGUUAACUCCACGGCUGCAGCCUUACCUUAGCCGGGACCGUUUGCGUCUUUUGACUCACGUAUGCGAUAGUGUCGCUAGCAAUCCAAUGUCAAAGAACCCGGAUCGACAUGUCUAGUCAUAAACCAAAGUGGCAGUACCGCACAAGGACAGGCAUACAUGACCCAACAAAGCAGGUGUCGGUCAUCGACGAAUGUAGACGAGUCGUAGCAAGCUACAAGGACUCCAUUACAUCGCGUGACAUUUCCCCAAAGGGGACAGACACAACAGCUAAGAAGGACACAUGCCGGUCAACCAAUGUGUCCGGAGCAGUAGCGAACUACCAAGGCUCAUUGGAUCACAAAGGGGCAUUUCCUUGUAAGGAGUGCUACUAAAGUUCACGACUAGGUAUUCGAACCCCAUACAUAUCAAGUACGACACACGUACGCAUGGCAUACCGAUAUGUAUAGAUACAUCGAUGGCAUCACAACAUAACCAUAAACAUACAAGCUUUAUUUAAGAGGCUCGGAAGAGCCACACACAUAAUAUUACACAUUAAGGAUCUCACGACCCAUAAUAGCAGUCAUACAAUACAAGCCAGCGGAAGAGUUAUAAACUGUCUAGGUACAGACAGUGCAGCUAGAAGGCACAUGGCCUGACUAUACUACAGAGCCGACGUAGGGCCAGAUCGUAGCUGGGACACCAGCUACUCGUCGUUGUCGAUGUCUACGAAGAACCCUCCGUUAGGGUCAUUAGCAACCUCUGCAACAUUUAUUAAGCAAACAUGAGUACGAAGGUACUCAGCAAGACUUUAGGAGAACUAACUACUCAUGCAAGGUAUCAAAAGGUAUUGUGGGGUUUCAGGUGGAAAGCCAGCAUUUGACUCGUGGCUAGACAACUUGCACUUUGAAAUUAGUUUUGACAACUUGAUUUCUCGCACACGAGUCCACUAACACCACAACAAUACACUAUCGUGGAAUCAUUCCGUCUCCAUACGGAAAUGCCGUCCACGACACUCACGCUUAUCUUGACAAUUUUAUGAGUAACCAUUGAAGUUAUCUAUGAACAACAUAUGUCUCCAAGUAGUCCAUAUCCGCGGACGCGGCUAUUCGAAUAGAUCAUAACCCUGCAGGGGUGUACUUCGUCACACACGCUCUCGCCACUUAUCGCCAUGUGCACGCCAUGCACCUCGGCAACCUUCAAGCGGAAGCCCAGCGAGGGAGUCGGCCACGACCGUUAACCACACUAGUACCUAGUCCAGGUUUAUCGCCUAUCUGAGAGUAACCCGUACGGAAGUCCGGCCGGGGUUUCCGCCACGGCCUCAAACGAUGUGCGCAGGGUUCCCAAGCCCACCAUCCGGGUGCCACUUGGUACACCGUGCCACUGCCUACCGCAUCACGGUCCACCUCUCAGGUCAGCACCAUGCACGGCCUCCAGCAUUACUAUAAACACCAGAAACUACUUGCAACUCCUGGACCGAGUACUACGCGAUUAAUAGGCCGAGCGGGGUCAUAUUUCAGGGCCCAGCAUGUGGUAGUAUCUAGUCUUGGAUUACAUACACGGAACUCAGUUCCUAAGGACGGUUCCAAUGAAACAACCCGCCAUGUACUCCUACACAGUCUUUCACCGGUACCUUUACCAAAUCAAGUUCCACACACAACCUUUGCUCACCGAACACAUUCCACAUUUCUGUUCAUCUCCCAGAUGACAGACCAUACACAACUCUAAGCAUAGCAUGCAUAGCAGGAUAAGGCACAUCAUAGCUCAAGCAACUCUAAGCAUAGAGGUCCGGCGGCCGGAGGUGGAAGACGACGGCGCUGCGGGCGUUGCAGGGCUCGAGGAAGCUUCGGCUUCUGUAGAGACGACCAGGGCGACGAGGCGGAGCUAACGGCGUGCUCUGGGAGGGGAUCCUAUGGCCAGGGGCACGGGCAGCUCGAGCUCGAGCUCGGCUCUAAUGGCGGCAGCAAGGAGGAGGAGGAGAUCCGGGCGAAGGAGGAGNNNNNNNNNNNNNNNNNNNNNNNNNNNNNNNNNNNNNNNNNNNNNNNNNNNNNNNNNNNNNNNNNNNNNNNNNNNNNNNNNNNNNNNNNNNNNNNNNNNNNNNNNNNNNNNNNNNNNNNNNNNNNNNNNNNNNNNNNNNNNNNNNNNNNNNNNNNNNNNNNNNNNNNNNNNNNNNNNNNNNNNNNNNNNNNNNNNNNNNNNNNNNNNNNNNNNNNNNNNNNNNNNNNNNNNNNNNNCCUGAAAUAUUUGUUAUAAUAUCCCAACUCAUUUCCAAGGUUUUCAACAUUUUUGGAAAAUUAUAGUUUCUGAUUUCAAUUUUUAAAUUUGAAACCACUGGCUUUUGCAUUUAUUUAAAAUGCUUAAAGUGUCAAGAAAAUAGUUUUCUCCAAUGCUCAUUUACUUUCAUGAUUUAUCAGAAAGUUUGAACAUUUCUUGAGGCCAUUUUGGGUUCAUUGAUUUUAAACUAGUUUGAGAUUUCCUUUAAUUGAAAUGGUGGCUAGGGUUUUGAGUUUUUCCUUUGCCACUUUGUUGUUUUUGUUGAAACUUCUUAGAUGCAAAUGCAAAGAAGACAUGAGCACAAUGCUAUCUUGCUUAAGGGUUAGGGAUGUGACAACGGUGGAAAUAUUAAACCCUACAUGCAGCUGCUAUAGGAGCACAAUAUCGCAUAUGAUCAUCAACCAAAGUAGAAACAUAGGAAACAACGAAAGCUACACAAUGACAUAACAUGAUAGGAACAACCUCACUAGUGGAAAACGGGCCUUUAGCCUGGACCCUUUAUCCCGGCCUCCCUCUGGGCCGGGACUAAAGGCCCGGCCACGUCGCCCCAAAUCGCAAUGCCAUCCACGAGGCUUUGGUCUCGGCCCGUAAGGAGCCUUUAGUCCCGGUUUGUGUCUCAAACCGGGACUAAAGGGUUACGCGGUGUGCAGCCCGCAUGUGCGCCACCUUUAGUCCCGGUUUGUGUCUCAAACCGGGACUAAAGUCCUCUGCCUAUAUAUAGCACAGCCCCCUCUCCCCUCUUCCUUGCAUUUUUCUUGGAUGGAAGAGUGUGGGUGUGUGCUAACUCUCCAUUUUUUUGAUGCACUAGAGGUGUUUGUUGAAAUGUGUGUUAGAGCGAUGCCGCUUCAGUUCACCGAACACAACUACGAUAUGAGAUGUCCGAGCCACGCUUAAACCUCUUCCUCUUUAUUUCUACUUAUUCUAAAAGGUUAGCAACUAUAUUUCCUCGUUUAGACCGUGCGGUACUAAUUUUUAGGAUCGUGAUUGUAUUUGAUAUACUGUCGUAUAACGCAGAUGAGCCAUCCAUGGAUGUACGGUGAUCGACGCACAGCCGCUUACAGAAAAGGCGUGCAUUCUUUUGAGAUGCAGCCGAUGCGAACAAACAUGGUGGUGGCUAUAUGUUUUGUCCAUGUGUUGAAUGUCGGAAUGAGAAGGAUUACACUUCCUCAAGAGUCAUUCAUAGCCACCUGCUUCGGUCCGGUUUUAUGUCGGGCUAUAAUGUUUGGACCAAGCACGGAGAAAGAGGGGUUAUGAUGGAAGACGACGAUGAAGAAGAAGAGAACGAUGAUGACAACUACCAAUCUAUGUUCCCUGAGUAUGCUGAUACCGCAAUGGAAGACAAUGAAGAAGAAGAUCAGGAUGAAGAACGGGAACCAGAUGAGCCCGCUGAUGAUCUUGGCCGGGUCAUUUCUGAUGCACGGCGAGGUUGCGACACAGAAAAGGAGAGGUUGCAGUUCGAGCAGAUGUUACAGGACCACAAAAAAUUGUUGUACCCAACUUGUGAAGAUGGCCAAAAGAAGCUGGGUAGCACACUGGAAUUGCUGAAGUGGAAGGCAGAGACCGGUGUGACUGACUCGUCAUUCGAAAAGUUGCUGGUACUGAUGAAGAAGAUGCUUCCAAGAAAGAACGAAUUGCCCGCCAGCACGUAAGAAGCUAAGAAGCUUGUCUGCACUCUAGGAUUAGAUGUGCAGAAGAUACAUGCAUGCCCUAAUGACUGCAUCCUCUACUGCGGUGAGAAGUACGAGAAUAUGGAUAAAUGCCCGGUAUGCACUGCAUUGCGGUAUAAGAUCAGAAAAGAUGACCCUGGUGAUAUUGAGGGCGAGCCACCCAGGAAGAGGGUUCCUGCCAAGGUGAUGUGAUAUGCUCCUAUAAUACCACGGUUGAAACGUCUGUUCAGAAAUAAAGAUCAUGCGAAGUUGUUGCGAUGGCACAUCGAAGAUCGUACGAAAGAUGAUAAGUUGAGGCACACCGCUGAUGGUCGGCAGUGGAGAAAAAUCGAGAGAGAGUUCCCGAGAUUUGCAGCUGACGCAAGGAACUUAUGGUUAGGUUUGAGUACAGAUGGCAUGAAUCCUUUUGGGGAGCAGAGUUGCAGUCACAACACCUGGCCCGUUACUCUAUGUAUCUACAACCUUCCUCCUUGGUUGUGCAUGAAGCAGAAGUUCAUUAUGAUGCCAGUGCUUAUCCAAGGUCCAAAGCAACCCGGCAACGAUAUUGAUGUGUACCUAAGGCCAUUAGUUGAUGGACUUUUACAGCUGUGGGCCGAACCAGGUGUAUGUGUGUGGGACGAGCACAAACAAGAGGAAUUUGACCCUCGAGCGUUGCUUUUCAUAACCAUCAAUGAUUGGCCUGCUCUUAGUAACAUUUCAGGACAGUCAAACAAGGGAUACAAUGCAUGCAUGCACUGUUUGGAUCAGACAAAAAGUAUAUAUCUGGACAAAUGUAGGAAGAAUGUGUACCCGUACAAUCGUCGUUUUCUUCCGCCCAAGCAUCCCUUAAAGUAAAAAGGCAAGCAUUUCAAUGGCAAGGCAGAACCCCGGGGGAAGCAUGUCAUCCGUACUGGUGCUGAAGUAUUUGAUAUGGUCAAAGAUUUGAAAGUAAUCUUUGGAAAGGGUCCUGGCAGCCAACCUGUUCCUAACGGCCCUGAUAAGCGCGUACCCAUGUGGAAGAAGAAAUCUAUAUUUUGGGAGCUACCCUACUGGGAAGUCCAUGAGGUCCGCUCGGCAAUCAACGUGAUGCACCUGACGAAGAAUCUCUGCGUGAAUAUUCUAGGAUUCCUGGGCUUGUAUGGGAAGUCAAAAGAUACACCGGAAGCACGGGAGGACCAGGAACAUCAUAAAGGAAGAGAUGGCAUGCAUCGAGGGCAGUUUCAAGGGCGUGCCAGCUACGCUCUUACUAAGGAAGAGAAGGAAAUCUUCUUUGAAGUCCUUUUCAGUAUCAAGGUCCCGACUGGCUUCUCGUCGAAUAUAAAGGGAAUCGUAAAUAUGGAAGACAAAAUAUUCCAAAACUUAAAGUCUCACGACUGCCACGUGCUUAUGACGCAAUUGCUUUCGGUUGCAUUGAGGGGAAUUCUACCGAAAAAUGUUCGCCUGGCAAUUGUGAAGGUAUGUGCAUUCCUCAAUGCAAUUUCUCAGAAGGUAAUCGAUCGCGAAAGUCUAUCAGGGUUACCGAUUGAUGUGGUCCAAUGUCUGGUCAGCUUUAGUUGUUGUUCCCGCCAUCCUUCUUCAAUAUAAUGACACACCUCCUAGUUCACCUAGUCGAAGAGAUUAGAAUUCUCGGUCCUGUGUUUCUACACAAUAUGUUCCCCUUCGAGAGGUUCAUGGGAGUCUUAAAGAAAUAUGUUCGUAACCGUGCUAGGCGAGAAGGAAGCAUCUCCAAGGGCUAUGGAACAGAGGAGGUCAUUGAGUUUUGUGUGGACUUUCUUCCUGACCUUAAGCCGUUUGGUGUUCCUGAAUCUCGGUAUGAGGGUAGGCUGACAGGAAAAGGCACACUAGGAAGGAAAGCAAAAGUAUGUAUGGACGGAUAUUCUUUCUCUCAAGCACACUACACAGUUCUACACAAUUCCACCGUGGUGGCUACGUAUAUCGUGAGACACAAGAAUAUUCUACGCUCCGAAAACCCGGGGAAGGCUGACUCUCGGAUUAAAGGGGAACACGAGAAGACUUUUGGCAGUUGGUUGCAGACGCAUCUCAUGAAUGACGACACCGUUGGAGAUUAGCUGUACUGUUUGGCCAGGCCACCAUCUUCGCCUAUAUGUACUUUCCAAGGGUAUGAGAUAAAUGGGAAUACAUUUUACACGGUUGCCCAAGAUAAAAAGAGCACCAACCAAAAUAGUGGUGUCCGCUUUGAUGCAACAGACGAGAAUGGGCACUGUUUGGAAACAUAUUACGUGUACAUAGAGGAGAUAUGGAAACUUGACUAUGGACCUACUUUUAAGAUCCCUUUGUUUCGGUGCAAAUGGGUGAAGCUGACAGGAGGCGGGGUACUUGUAGACCAAAAGUACGGCAUGACAACAGUGGAUCUCAACAAUCUUGCGUACAUGGAUGAACCAUUUGUCCUAGCCAAUGAUGUCGCUCAGGUUUUCUAUGUGAAGGACAUGUCUACAAAAACGAGAAAAAGAAAUCAGCAAAAGAAGAUAUCGUCCGAUGAGCCAAAACGCCACAUAGUUCUUUCAGGGAAAAGAAACAUCGUGGGAGUAGAUGACAAGACAGACAUGUCAGUAGAUUAUAAUAAGUUUCAUGAAAUUCCGCCCUUCAAAUUGAAAACUGACCCAAGCAUCCAACUGAAUGAUGAAGAUUCUCCAUGGCUACGACCUAGAAGAAAACAGAAAUAAUAGAUAGGAAUAUUGGUGCAAUAAUGUAAUAAUGUAUUAAACCUUUUAUGUAAUGCAUGUAUGGAAUGUACUAAACCUUUUAGUUUUGCAUUAUUUAUUCAAUUUCAAACACUUUUCAUUUUCAUAGUUUUAAUAAACCUUUGUAAGAGAUGAGUUCUUGUUCGAAACGCUGAUACUUCGAGAGAGAUUGUCCGUUUUGUACACGAAGUGCAUGCAGUUUUUGUCGUAGCCCUCUCAACUUUUUAACACAUGCUAUGUGGGUGAAAUGAUGAUAGCAUGCCAACUUUCAACAUUUUCAGAGUUCAUUUGUAGUGCUUUUCAAUUUCUGGGUCAAUUAGCUCAAAAAUAAUAAGUAAAUGCACGAAGAAUACCAAAUGAAGUCAGUAAUUGUUGAAAUUUUUUGAUGUGUCUUUGAAUGGUGCAUUUUGAACACACAAAAAGUAUGGAGUUCAAAUAAGUUCAAAAAAUGAAAUCCCUUUGUAAGAGAUGAGUUCUCGUUCGAAACCCUGAUACUUCGAGAGAGAUUGUCCGUUUUGUACACGAAGUGCAUCCAGUUUUUGUCGUAGCCCUCUCAACUUUUUAACACAUGCUAUGUGGAUGAAAUGAUGAUAGCAUGCCAACUUUCAACAUUUUCAGAGUUCAUUUGUAGUGCUUUUCAAUUUCAGGGUCAACUAGCUCAAAAAAAAAGUAAAUGCACGAAAUAUACCAAAUGAAGUCAGAAAUUGUUGAAAUUUUAUGAUGUGCCUUUGAAUGGUGCAUUUUGAACACACAAAAAGCAUGGAGUUAAAAUAAGUUCAAAAAAAUGAAAUCCCUUUGUAAGAGAUGAGUUCUCGUUCGAAACCCCGAUACUUCGAGAGAGAUUGUCCGUUUUGUACAUGAAGUGCAUCCAGUUUUUGUCGUAGCCCUCUCAACUUUUUAACACAUGCUAUGUGGGUGAAAUGAUGAUAGCAUGCCAACUUUCAACAUUUUUAGAGUUCAUUUGUAGUGCUUUUCAAUUUCAGGGUCAACUAGCUCAAAAAAAUAAGUAAAUGCACGAAGAAGUCCAAAUGAAGUCAGAAAUUGUUGAAAUUUUGUGAUGUGCCUUUGAAUGGUGCAUUUUGAACACACAAAAAGUACGAAGUUCAUUAUCAUAGUUUUGUCAAAUUCUCAAAUAUGCAAAAAGAAUUUUAAUAAACAUAAUUUUUAAUUGAAAAUAACAAAAUAGUUAAUAGUUUGGAUAGUUAAGAUAAUUAAUUUUGAAAAUAGAAAAUAGUUUUGAAUUAUUUAUUCAAUUUCAAACACUUUUCAUUAUCAGAGUUUUGUCAAAUUCUCAAAUAUGCAAAAAGAAUUUUAAUAAACAUAGUUUUUAAUUGAAAAUAAAAAAAUAGUUAAUAGUUUGGAUAGUCAAAAUAAUUAAUUUUGAAAAUAGAAAAUAGUUUUGAAUUAUUUAUUCAAUUUCAAACACUUUUCAUUAUCACAGUUUUGUCAAAUUCUCAAAUAUGUAAAAAGAAUUUUAAUAAACAUAGUUUUUAAUUGAAAAGAAAAAAAUAUUUAAUAGUUUGGAUAGUCAAAAUAAUUAAUUUUGAAAAUAGAAAAUAGUUUUGAAUUAUUUAUUCAAUUUCAAACACUUUUCAUUAUCAUAGUUUUGUCAAAUUCUCAAAUAUGCAAAAAGAAUUUUAAUAAACAUAGUUUUUAAUUGAAAAUAACAAAAUAGUUAAUAGUUUGGAUAGUCAAAAUAAUUAAUUUUGAAAAUAGAAAAUAGUUUUGAAUUAUUUAUUCAAUUUCAAACACUUUUCAUUAUCAUAGUUUUGUCAAAUUCUCAAAUAUGCAAAAAGAAUUUUAAUAAACAUAGUUUUUAAUUGAAAAUAACAAAAUAGUUAAUUUUGAAAAUAGAAAAAAAUUGAAACUAUAUGAGAAUUUAUGGAGAAAAUUAAACCUAAAUUCAAAGUGACCUCACUUUGAAUUCAGGUUUAAUUUUCUCCAUAAUUUCAAAUAUAGUUUCAAUUUUUAAAAUUAUAGUCAGUUUAGGCCCGUAAGCCUGCUUUAGAGAGGAGCUCGAUGGAGAUGCUGCGACGGUGCUUAUAAACUAGUGUUAGUCCCCCUCGCUGGGCGAGGUGGGACUAAACUUAUCGUGCAGCCAGCGGAGGGGCUUUAGUCCCGGGUGGAGCCACGACCCGGGACUAAAGCCCCUCGCCUGCCGCCAGCCGAGCACGUGCCUUUAGUCCCGGGUCGUGGCUCCACCCGGGACUAAAGGGUGUCUUUAGUCCCGGCUCGAGCCCCGACCCGGGACUAAAGGCCCCUGCUUCCCGCCUUUUGGUCUGCCGAAAAAGGGCCUUUAGUCCCGGGUCAUGGCUCUGCCCGGGACUAAAGAGUGUCUUUAGUCCGAGUUCGAGCCCCGAACCGGGNNNNNNNNNNNNNNNNNNNNNNNNNNNNNNNNNNNNNNNNNNNNNNNNNNNNNNNNNNNNNNNNNNNNNNNNNNNNNNNNNNNNNNNNNNNNNNNNNNNNCGGCGUCACCGAGGCCUUCCUCGCCAACCCCUCCCCCGACAAAGUCAACGUCCGCGUCGUGCGUCCUCUCUCUCUCAAGACGGGAAUGGAUAAGUCGGGGAGGGGGGUUUAUGUAAAUGAGCGAAACGUUUUUUUAUAACUUAAAAAUAUUCUGCGGCUUGAAUACCAAAAUAGCAAGGGGUGUUUCGGCAAAAUGACCGACGACGUCGAAAGAAGCACUACAUGCUUUAUUAUUAGGGGAGAAGUAGAGAGUAGAGAUAGAGACAGAGAUAGAGAUAGAGANGAUAGAGAUUCUUUUUGUUGCAAAGUAUAGGACUUUCACUGCAUGCGCGAUAUCUACACUAUUCCCUCGCGAGCGAGCACACCGUGCAUGCAAACGAACCGCUCGGACGGACGUUCCUCGCUAGAAUCCGUCGAGGCCAAACAACUCCGGCGCUGCACCGAACUUGACGGCAUAAUCACAGACGACGACACCUUGAACGCCUUCUCCGCGCUCGUGUCCCCGCCNNNNNNNNNNNNNNNNNNNNNNNNNNNNNNNNNNNNNNNNNNNNNNNNNNNNNNNNNNNNNNNNNNNNNNNNNNNNNNNNNNNNNNNNNNNNNNNNNNNNCAUUCCCUUUGUCCUUCAGUAUGUUACUUGCCCGAGAUUCGAUCGUCAGUAUCCGCAUACUUAUUUCAAUCUCGUAUACCGGCAAGUCUCUUUACUCGUUCCGUAAUACAAGAUCCCGCAACUUACACUAAGUUACAUUGCUUGCAAGGCAUGUGUGUGAUGUUGUAUUACCGAGUGGGCCCCGAGAUACCUCUACGUCACACGGAGUGACAAAUCCCAGUCUCAAUCCAUACUAACUCAACGAACACCUUUGGAGAUACCUGUAGAGCAUCUNNNNNNNNNNUUGUUUGUGAUGUUGUAUUACCGAGUGGGCCCCGAGAUACCUCUCCGUCACACGGAGUGACAAAUCCUAGUCUCGAUCCAUACUAACUCAACGAACACCUUUGGAGAUACCUGUAGAGCAUCUUUAUAGUCACCCAGUUACGUUGCGACGUUUGAUACACACAAAGCAUUCCUCCGGUGUCCGUGAGUUAUAUGAUCUCAUGGUCAUCGGAACAAAUACUUGACACGCAGAAAACAGUAGCAACAAAAUGACACGAUCAACAUGCUACGUCUAUUAGUUUGGGUCUAGUCCAUCACAUGAUUCUCCUAAUGAUGUGAUCCCGUUAUCAAGUGACAACACUUGCCUAUGGCCAGGAAACCUUGACCAUCUUUGAUCAACGAGCUAGUCAACUAGAGGCUUACUAGGGACAGUGUUUUGUCUAUGUAUCCACACAAGUAUUGUGUUUCCAAUCAAUGCAAUCAUAGCAUGGAUAAUAAACGAUUAUCAUGAACUAAGAAAUAUAAUAAUAACUAGUUUAUUAUUGCCUCUAGGGCAUAUUUCCAACAAUAGUAGUAGCGCCUUUUCAAUUAGCAGCGCUACUGUUAAGGUGUUAUUAGCAGNNNNNNNNNNNNNNNNNNNNNNNNNNNNNNNNNNNNNNNNNNNNNNNNNNNNNNNNNNNNNNNNNNNNNNNNNNNNNNNNNNNNNNNNNNNNNNNNNNNNCGCUGCUGCUAAUUAUCAGCAGUGUUUUUUUUAUUCCAGCGCUACUACUGAGGUCCUACCUAUAAGGUUUUUUCUAGUAGUGUUUGUUACACGUCUUAGCACAAAAUAAAAUAAGACAUGAGUAACUAAAUACACUCUGGUUUCAAGUAACACACUAUCUGUGUACAACACAAUAUAUAGAAGACGACCCCCAUGAGCUAUUAUUUUAAAUCAAAUUAGUAUCGUAAAAAGCCUAGUAUUUACAUUCUGUGGGGAAUAGGUCAAUACACAAUGUACAUAUUUACAAAAUUGUAUUAAGUAGUCCUGGAGUUGCCAGUUAUGCCCCUAUAAUGGUUCAUAUUUCCUUGAGCUAUUAAUUCUAAAUUAAUCGAUCAUGGAGGACUUGGCAGUUCGAGACGACUUCAUGCGGUGGUGGCCCCCGGUCAUGGUCUGGCCGGGGUGGUCGCCUCGCUGCGCCACGAUGGAUGUCGGGGCGGCGGCCUCGGGAGGUGACAGAUGGUGAGACCUAGAUCGUCCUUGGAUGCAUAGCAUGGACGUACCUAUGUCCAAGGCAGGGCUGCUCCAGCGGUACGAUGAAUUAGAGCCCGUAUUCAGUUUGGUACAUAGACGGUGAAGAGUGUGCUUGGAAUUCAUCCUAACGGCUCUUCAGGCAUUGCGCGGUGAUGUGGCAACCCUCACUCCAUGUUUUAGUGGUGGCGCCCUUCGGUAGUGGUCGAGGUGUCAUGAUACACUGCGGUGGCAGUGAGGCUAUGGAUGAUCGCUGGAUCUGGGCAACCAACUCUGAGGCUUUGAAGGAGGUAUCGUAGAUGCAGAGGUUCUCGGCUGGAUGUUCUUGGGACAAAUUUGGGUGAAAAAUCGAUUUCUGUCGGUGGUAGGAGGCAAUGAUGGUGAUGCCCUUGGCGCUAUUUCCUUCACGAAGGCAUCAUCAAGGUGAAGCUCCCAACUCCUACCCUUACCUCUAGGGGAAACUCUUAAUCAGUCGAUCGGAUGAUGACGGCGCUCUCGUGUCACUCCCUCCUUGGGGGCGUCAUUAUUGGAGGGGUGCAUUGGCUCGAGGGAUCAGUGGACGGUUUUAGCGGUGGAUCGACGUCUCAUUUCACGGAUCGAUGAUGUUGCGUCUCGACGGCAUGGCGCAACAGGGUCUCGGCGACAUAUGUAUAAUGUUGGACGUGCGUAGAGAGGUGGCGUUCUUUGGAGUGGUGGUGGCGUCGAUGGAAGGACUGCCAAGGUUGAUGCGUCAGUACCUGCUCUCAAGAUGGAUCGAUGUAAGACGACGGCGGCGGUCUCUUAGAGUGCGCCGGACCGGUGUGUGCCCCAGAACAGGCAGGAGCCUUGAUUGGGGCCUCCGGUUUCAGAUGUUAGGCUUCAAACUUAUUGAUUUAUUACUUAAUAAAAUGACUGUAUAUAUCGUCCAGAUGCAGAGGCAGGUGGGACAUCCUUAUUUUUUUAGAAAUGUGUUGAAGGAUAUGGGACGGAAAUAAAUAAUAGAAGUCUUGAUGUGAAGAUGACUUGUAAUGCAACUUAAUUGAACAAAAAGUAGUUAGAUAUAGAUAUGGAUAAUAAAAAUACAUGAUGCAAAGCUGACUUUCAAGCAGCUUAAUUGCACGAAAAGUAGCUUACACAAAAUGACAUGUAAACUGACUCUGCUUAAUCAUUGAAACAAAGACUUAAGAUUGUGUUAGAAUUAGGUAAAGAUUAAGGUGUAUUUGCAUGACAAAUUGUUGGUAUCUCUAAAUAGGACUCACACUCGUGUAUCCAAUUAAGCAGGAUUUGGACUCUUUAUAAUAAACGUGUAGUUUUAUACUAUAUUUCUUAAUUAAAUAAAGUAAUCACAUACAUCACUUUCAGUUAAUAGUAGAUGUGGUGUUGGUCGCACGUGGCUAGAAUCGUGUUUGAUCUGGUUUGUCAAUUGCAUGCUUUUUUGUUCGCAAAUAUGAGAUUACGCAUGAUGUGAAGCAGGAGUAAAGGCAGCAGGUUGCUGGCAAGUCUGCAUAAUUGUCAUGACAUAGUGAUAUUAGAAACUGGACGUGGUUGGAAGCAACUGCAUGAAAAAAAUAAGAUACGAAGAGGUAAUGAUAUUUAUAAAGCAAAUCUUUUACAUGAUCACUUACACAAACUAGUUUAAUUGAUGGCCCCAUGCGAUUGAAGGGAAGGAUGGCGAGUUCAAACCCGAGUACUUGCGUCUAUUUUUUUCUAGGAUUGCAGGUUCAUUAUUUACAAUCGUGUGAGGCUUUAUGUAAAAUGCCAUCGAAUCUAUUUUUCCAACUAAAAACAGGACCAUGGGUUUAUUGGAUAAAACCUCAAGUGUGUUUGUGCAAAACAGCAUAACGGACUAAAAAUAUUUAUUUAUUUUAUUAGUAAAAAAGUAGGUAUAGAUAUAGAUAUAGACUAGGAAAUAUACCCGUGUGUUGCAACAUAAUAAAAAGUGCCUCAACAUUCCCCCAAUCCAUGAACACACCCUUCCACAUCCUCUAUGUCAUGACAAUGCCCGGCCUAUAUCACCCCUUAUCCUCCUUCCUGCCAUCGCCGAUGGUGACAGUUCAAUCUUGCGUCUGUACAACACUAUGGGCAGCGUCCAUCAAUAAUGUGAGGAGUUCAUUGGCAAGAGUGCUCGACCACGUCGGCUGUGUGUCGUUGGUUAGCGCCUCGCCUGUAGUCACCUCCUCCGUCAACCGAAGUGCUGCCGGCAUUGCAAAUAUAAUUUGCAAGUAAAUCUACUAUAAAAGUUAUAGACCAAGGCACUAAGAAUUGAACAAUGAUUCUGACCACUUGUUUUGUUAGAAAUUUCUGGAAAAAUAAAUCCUUAUAAAAUAAAUCUCAGACUUCAUCAAGGAGCUACACAAAUUAAAUCAUAUUUAUGGUCAUAAGAUAAUCGUAGAUUAGAUGUGCAUUUAUAUAUAUAUAUAUAUAUAACAAACUUCCAAAGAGUACACACUUGAAAAUUCCUUAAAAAGUACACACUUGAGGCAUGCGACAUGUACAUUCCAAGAUUCUUCGAAGUCAUUGCAUUUUAGCUUAUUCGUGAGGACGGAUGCCAGCAUUUUUGUUUCGGAAAUUAUAUAUGAAAAAUAUCUCUUCAAAACCUAGACAUACUUCGACGUACAAAAAACAUGUCACGGGGAGAAUUACGGAAAACUAAAUGACGGCACCACUGAUUUGUUUUGUUCAUAUAUGUUCACAGAUUAGAAUGUCCUUGCUGUUGUUAGUUAACUAUAUGAUGAAGCAAAGANNNNNNNNNNUAAUCUAUGAACUGGAUUAACAAAAUUAAAGGAUGUAAAAACUGGGUUCUAUACUAUAUUGCAAGGGAGCUUAUUUUUCUUCUAAGGAAUUUAUUUGCUUUACAUAAUAUCUAUCAUUGCAUAAUUAUUGUUGGGAACUGUGAAAAAAAAUUAUCAACGUAAAUUAUGAUUAAAUUUAUUUUGUGAAGAAAAUAGCUUUGCGUGGAGAUAAGUGAGCCGAUCAGCAUUUUUUGUGUGUGUUGCAACAUAUGCUAGCUAGCAUAACCUUAACAACAAUACCAUGUUGACGGUGGCAAUAUUAAACCCUACAUGAAUCUGCUAUAGGAGCAUAAUAACGCUUUUGAUCAUCAACCAAAGUAGAAACACGGGAAACAACCAAAGCUACACAGUCACAUACAAUGAUAGAAACAACCUGUACUAUUUUUGUGAUAAUGAAAGAGAUAGUGCUCUUAUCCUCUGCAUCACGAUCAUAUGAAAACUAAUCAAUCUCAUGUAUGUGGCACUGCUUCAUUUUCCAUCUAUCCAGCUUGUUGCUGCAGGUCAUCACGAUGACAAGUGUCAGUCCAGUAGCCAGCUUUGUGCAUGUACCAGGGAGCAGAUCGAUCNNNNNNNNNNAUCUCACAUAUAUAUGUCUCCCCGUCCAAGGUUUCAACACCUGAUAUGGUAACAAUUUUGUGACAGUCUCCACUUUCUCUCUUCAUCAGCAGCAAACAUAGCCAAGUAGCAACACAAAAGGCAGCAUACACAUGCCCGGAGUAGCAACAGAGAGAAAUUCAUCUUAAUCUCUCUCAAUUUCUCUCUUCUUGUCUACCUGAUUCUCCUCUUUGCAUCACACAAAGCAGAACACAAAACAAAUUCAGCAUAUAAAGUUAUAAACAGUAGUGUGAGGUUUGCACCAUUGGAAAGUGUGUACAUGUGUUGCGUUGUUUCCUGGGCUUGAUCAAUCUUGGUGGGGCAAAGUAGCAGCAUGGUCGCUAUCUACGCCGACACGACCCACCACGUCGACCCCAGCACCCCAACGUGGUCUUUGGAUCCAGACAGUCGUCGUGGCCUACAACAACCUAGUAGUCGUCCAGGACGCAUACACGCGAGGCCUUCACCGUCAACCGUCGUCAACGACCAACCUCACCGGCUGGGAGCCUGAGUUCUGGGAACUCCUGUGGCGCUGCCCACCUCAGGGCAUGCACGGCGCCCUCAUCGAGUUAGUGCGCCGCCGUUCCGCAUCUGAGACAGUGUCGGCCAUGUCGAUCUUCUUGUCGCGUGUUGGGCCUUGCAGGCGAGAGAGAGAGAGAGAGAGAGAGUCGGAUGGAGCAGCGAGUCGAGUUCCGAUCUGUUCGGCGCUCGGUCGGAGCUUGUUGUNNNNNNNNNNNNNNNNNNNNNNNNNNNNNNNNNNNNNNNNNNNNNNNNNNNNNNNNNNNNNNNNNNNNNNNNNNNNNNNNNNNNNNNNNNNNNNNNNNNNAGUUCACCGGGGGGGCAACCCACCCCGGGGAAGCCCAUAGGCUUUGAGGGUGGCACACCAGCCCUUAGUGGGCUGGUGGGACAGCCCACAAGUGCCCUAUGNNNNNNNNNNGGUUCACCGGGUGGGGCAACCCACCCCGGGGAAACCCAUAGGCAUUUGGGGAGACACACCAGCCCUUAGUGGGCUGGUGGGACAGCCCACAAGUGCCCUAUGCGCCAAGGAGAAGAAAAUCAAGAGAGAAAGGAAAAAAAAAGGGGAGGUGGGAAGGAAGGGGGACUCCCUCCCACCAAACCUAGUGCAACUCGGUUUGGGGGGGGAGAGUCCUCCCCCUUGGACUCGGCCGACCCCCUUGGGGCUCCUUGAGCCCCAAGGCAAGGCCCCCUCCCUCCCACCUAUAUAUACGGAGGUUUUAGGGCUGAUUUGAGACGACUUUUCCACGGCAGCCCGACCACAUACCUCCACGGUUUUUCCUCUAGAUCGCGUUUCUGCGGAGCUCGGGCGGAGCCCUGCUGAGACAAGGUCAUCACCAACCUCCGGAGCACCGUCACGCUGCCAGAGAACUCUUCUACCUCUCCGUCUCUCUUGCUUGAUCAAGAAGGCCGUGAUCAUCGUCGAACUGUACGUGUGCUGAACGCGGAGGUGCCGUCCGUUCGGUACUAGAUCGUGGGACUGAUCGCGGGAUUGUUCGCGGGGCGGAUCGAGGGACGUGAGGACGUUCCACUACAUCAACCNNNNNNNNNNUGCUGCCGGAGAACUCUUCUACUUCUCCGUCUCUCUUGCUGGAUCAAGAAGGCCGAGAUCAUCGUCGAGCUGUACGUGUGCUGAACGUGGAGGUGCCGUCCGUUCGGUACUAGAUCGNNNNNNNNNNNNNNNNNNNNNNNNNNNNNNNNNNNNNNNNNNNNNNNNNNNNNNNNNNNNNNNNNNNNNNCUCUAACGCUUCUGCUGUACGGUCUACAAGGGUACGUAGAUCACUCAUCCCCUCUCGUAGAUGGACAUCACCAUGAUAGGUCUUCGUGCGCGUAGGAAAUUUUUUGUUUCCCAUGCGACGUUCCCCAAUAUAUAGUAUAGUACAUCCUAUCUUGACCAAGAUCUUGAAUAACUGUAUUUCAAAAUGGUAGCACACUCAGCAAACCAAGGUCCCAUGAUAGAUGGGGGAAUACGGUCCUGCAGUUGCGAGUUAUGCCGCUAUAAUUCUAAAUAAAUCACCGGGCGUAAUUUAAUCAUUGCCUUGCUGUACACGCUAGUUCGCAAAUNNNNNNNNNNGACACUCAGCAAACCAAGGUCCCAUGAUAGAUGGGGAAUACGGUCCUGCAGUUGCCAGUUAUGCCGCUAUAAUUCUAAAUAAAUCUCCGGGCGUAAUUUAAUCAUUGCCUUGCUGUACACGCUAGUUCGCAAAUGGCAUGUUUUGUUCAUUUAAUUUCUUUUGCAACACAAGUAUGAGGGUUUGUUUCCUUACCUACCGACGUACUUAUAUAUAAUACUCCCUCCGUCUCAAAAUAAGUGUCUUAAGCUUAUACAAAUUUAUACUAGAGCUAGUACAAAUUUAAAACAGCUAUUUUGGGACGGAGGGAGUAUUUGCAAUCGACCAUGGCCACGUAGUGNNNNNNNNNNGUACUCCCUCCGUCUCAAAAUAAGUGUCUUAAGAUUAAUACAAAUUUAUACUAGAGCUAGUACAAAUUUAAAACAGUUAUUUUGGGACGGAGGGAGUAUUUGCAAUCGACCAUGGCCACGUAGUGGCUACCAAGCUUACCGCCGCUGCCAUCGCGUUCAUCAUCAACACUUGUUGUGUGCUCACCACGUUCAUCAUCAAAUUAGGAUAAACUCAAUCGAUCUUAUUUUCAUUUGAUAAUCAAUUCUUCAGAUGCAAAGUNNNNNNNNNNNNNNNNNNNNNNNNNNNNNNNNNNNNNNNNNNNNNNNNNNNNNNNNNNNNNNNNNNNNNNNNNNNNNNNNNNNNNNNNNNNNNNNNNNNNUCGUGAUAGAUGGGGAAUACCCUUUUCGAGCUAAUCCCGUCGUCGGCAAUAAAAAUCCGGCGGAUCCGGUCGCCGCCGCCACCGAUCGGGGACGGGCCGACGCGGGGACAGGAGGUUCUGUUUUUCCUCGUGCGUGCCUAUAUGGAGUGAGGUUGCAAUAUUUUGCUAUAAUGUUUUUUGCUUCAAGGCCUUCGAUGGGAUCGUGCGCUGAUCCAACGGACGNNNNNNNNNNUGGAUUCGGCCGUCGCCGCCACCGAUCGGGGACGGGCCGACGCGGGGACGGGAGGCUCUGUUUUUCCUCGUGCGUGCCUAUGUGGAGUAAGGUUGCAAUAUUUUGCUGUAACGUGUUUUUGCUUCAAGGCCUUCGAUGGGAUCGUGCGCUGAUCCAACGGACGUGGCUGGCUGCAUCCAAUGGUCUGAGCUGGACCGGCCAUACCGUUGCACCGGUCCGCCCGUGUAGAUCGCUGCCCUACAUUUAACCAAGAUAAAUGUAUCCCACACAUAGACGCACCGAGAGAGGAACUAACUUUGAGUAUAUAUAUAUGUGUCAGCCUGUCUAUAUUAUCCUGCUAGCUUGCAAAUAAAAUUAGAAUUCUACGCCCUUCGUUUCAAAAUAAGUGUCUUAAACUUAAUAUAAUUUUAUACCAGAGCUGUUACAAAGUUAAGAUAAUUAUUUUGGGACAGGAGGGAGUACAACAAAACAGGGACAUCUCAACUUCUACUGCAGUUUACAAGUGNNNNNNNNNNCACUCCCUCCGUAAACUAAUAUAAAAGCAUUUAGAUCACUAAAAUAGUAAUCUAAACGCUCUUAUAUUAAUUUACAGAAGGGUAUAAUUUUGUACCAGAGCUGGUGCAAAGUUAAGAUAAUUAUUUUGGGACAGAGGGAGUACAACAAAACAGGGACAUCUCAACUUCUACUACAGUGGGAUACGUUUUUGUUUUUUGUUUUUUGCGGCAUAAGCAGGAUAGAUAAUGAUGAAACAUCUGCACUUGCACCACUCGCUCGUAGUACAUGCCGAGUUGAUUUCCUAACCUACCGACGUACUUAUAUACUUAUAUAAUGUAAUUGAUCAUGGCCACGUAGUCGCUACCAAGCUGCCACCGCGUUCAUCAUCAACACUUGCCUGCUGUGUGGUCACCACGUUCGCGGCCGGCAGCAGCUGGUUGACUCGCAAACGUGCGCUCCAAACGCCCGUAGAACACAUGCAUGCGAUUUCUGCUGUAGAUGACUAUAAAUACGCAUGCGAAACAGCAAGUUUUCUUCAUCCUAUCUUCCUCGAUCCAGCAAGAGGAGACGAGCACAGGAAGAUGGCCAGGCUUGUCCUUGUCGCCGUACUGGUGGUGCUCGGUUCCGUGGCCUGCCAAGCAUCCGGCUACGGCUACACCUAUCCCAACCCCACUCCCAUCAUAACCGGUACUCCGCAGCCGAGCCCUUCCCCACCUCCACCGGCUACUCCCCCGCCCAGCCCUACCCCUACACCGGAAUAUCCCACCCCGACUUCCAGCGCGCCGGCAACGUCCCCAUCAGUUUCUCCUCCGACCAGCUCUACCCCGCCACCACCGUCUACCCUUCCCCCGAGCCCUACUGCUACCCCGGUCUAUCCCACCCCCACUCCCACCACUCCCGCGCCCCCACCGGCUUCUACUCCUGCCCCGCCUCCAC
rnacentral:lncRNA from 1 species